AUAUUUUAUAAAGGUGGCAGAAUAGUGCAUUAGAUUUAGGAUCUAAAAAUAAGUUUUUACUUUCUUU
rnacentral:tRNA from 1 species